AUCAGCUCACGUGACAAGUCCAUUGCUGGCAUCAUUUCCAAUGAGUGUCUCUAAGCAGCUGUCAGUCUAAAAUCUUGGAAGAAGACAACAUGGCCAAAGCCCUCCCACCACUGCUAAAUAGGGAGAUGCCAUAAAUGUAGCCAUGUGAGAAGAGUCAAAAACAAUUUGGAAAACACGUAUGGAAUAAAAGAAGUGGAAUAAAUUGCGAAGGAGGACACAGGGAAAACAGACGCAUAGUGAUUAUAAAGGGAAGAAGAAAAAC